ACAUUAAUCUUAAUGAUUUUAGCAGAACUGGAAUUCAUUAACCAUUUUAUUUGUGAUAGGUAAAGAGUUAAAUAGACAUCAUGCAGCCGAGCGAUGUAUUUGGUGAUAUUGCUGCAAACAGAUCUUAUCUCUGAAACGGUUAUUUAUAGUUCAAAGGAUCUGAGAACAAGCUUCCGCCGUGAGGAUAGUCACACUGGCUGAAGUCUAUUUGCUUUGACCUACUAAUGAAACGAGUGCAAGACAUUUCAGUGCCACAAGAUGGAGCCAGAGACUGAAAAAGCAGUUCAGUCUCAGGGCUCUCACUGGUGUCGUUUCCAGAUGGAGCAACUGCUCCCCAGCACUAAACAGCAGACAGCGACUGGCUGGGAAUAUAAGGAGAAUCUGGAGGCUAAUAGAACAAACAAAUAGAGCUUCUGACAAAGAAACUUUCUUUGACCUUCACAAUCUGCCAUUGUCUGGCACUUUCCGUGUGCUGGAGCCAGCAGACUGUACGAGGAGAGGACAUCAGUAUGAAGUCACACACACACACACAAAGACACAUGCACUGGUUUCUUAGUAUUCUCUAAGGGAUGCCGAUUUGCUUCACAGUGUCCUCAAGACGCCAGCCAGACCUGAGAAAGCACGAAAAGUCCCUUUAACACACUGAAGUCCACUGCCAUUAGUCACACUGAUAGCACAGGAAUAUGUGUAAAAGUGCAUGAUACAGUCUGCAGAGGUUAUCUUGAAUGAGAACUGUUUUCAGUAUAGCAAUAGGAUACUGGACUGCUUUGAAGAGCUGGAGUAAACGCUAAAUAAUUUAUCUAAAAUAAUCUAUUGUCAUUAGACCUAAAAUUAGCAAUCUUUAUCAAUCAUUUUAAAUUAAUAAAAUAUAACAGAACGGAAAAAUGCAAAUUACAAUUUCCCAGAGCACAAGUGAUGUCUUCACAUCUUAAUUUGUCCGACCAACAGUCCAAAACUCAAAAUAUUCAGUUUACUAUCAAACAUGAUAAAUUGAAGAAAUCCUCACAUUCAAGAGGCUGGAAAAAAUAAACAUUUUUGAUUUUGGGGCUGUCUCCAUAUUUGUUUCAAAGAAAAGUUACAUUUGAUGAGCUAUGUGAUGCACUAGUAAAGAAAUGCAUCUGUACAGAUCAUGACAACCUAAGUAUAUCAUGUAUUUUAAAUAUUUCACUGUCUUCCAGUCAAGGUCUACCACGAUAAGAUUACAUUUUUUUUUUAAGUUGUUCGCCCUCCGUUAUGACAUAUAUUUGUAUUACUGCAAAAGCAAAAUGAAAAACUACAGGAAAAUCGAGAACAGUAUUCGGAUAUGAAUAAAUAAAGACCGCCAUCUUUAAUUAGAGCACACAUGCUUGUCUGUUGUUAAAACUGUCCUCUGGCACAGUUUAAAGAUCAGCUUACUGUGUCCCAAAUUCAUAACUUCAUAGGACUGAAAUAUUACUAUCUGUCCUGAGAUCAGAACAGGGGUAUUUUACCUCUCAUAUCCCUCACUGCUAUUAAGUGAAGCAUGCAGGCUCGAAAGAAGCGUUUAUGUCUACAGUUAUUACAAAAGUGAUUAGAUUUCUUAUAUGGCAUGAAACCAGGCUUUAAAUAAACCCUGUACAAUAUCUACUGUCUCUAAUAAUGUUUUAAAUUCUUGAAGUAUCGAAGCUCUUAAAAGACUGAGCAUGUUCCUUAUCCAGUUCAGUUUAGUGUGGGGGAUACCUUUCUGUGCCUUUUCCAUAUUAGCAUAUUGCAGUCUUGACUAGUUUUGAAGGUCAGAAUAAUGGUGUAUGUAUUUCAGGUGGUGAGGAUAUACAUCCUCAGAUAUUGUGUCCAAUCUAAAUCCAGUUAUUCUGCAUAAAAACAGUGGAAGAACGAGCCGUGUGGCAAGGAAACUAUUCUUUUAUCUCACUAGGGUAAAAGUAAAGGUGGUAAGAAUAGCAAGGAGAGUCAAGAUCAAAUAUGUUAUUAAGGUGAUCUUUCCUGCGCCGAUGGGACUGAGCUGAGCUGGGGAGGGGGCUGCAUCAUUGGCAGGACUGCACAGACACUGUUCAGGAAAUUAUGUUUCCUUGGGCUGGGAGUUCGCUGAUUGUUUCUAUAUUUGGGAAAUUCCUGAGGAUCAUAAAGGCAAGGAUCUGGGGAAUGUUGUGCUAAAGUUAAUUCACAAUAGUAACACCCUCUGAUUGGACACCUUAGAUGUCAGCAGAGAUAAGUCAGUGACGUCAGUUGACAAAAUAAUGUUUCAAAACUGUGACAAAGGUGAGUGUCUUCAAGCUCAUGUACACUUUGUAUAAGGCAGGAGAUUGCGUGAGUUGUUCAGUGCCUGGGUGGAGCGGGAUGGAAACCAAUAAUACAGAUGCUUUAAAGGGGAACUUGAGGGUAUAGCAAAUUACAUAAUUACAUAAUUACAUUCAGUCAUAUUGGACAAAUCUGUGCCUCCUGAUUAACGUCCAAUGCCAGUAUUUAGUGCCAAGACAGGAAGUAGUGUGCAUGAUUUGUAACCAUGGCAGAUAGAAAGUGUUUAGAAGUUGGGGUGGUAAGUGGGAAAAUCAUCCUAAUUUGACAUUCCUUUCUGGUGACAGGGUUGAACUUUAGCUAAUUAUUUUUUAUUGGUUAUGUUAAUGGUGUACAAACCAAAUUAUCUAGGGAUGCAGCAAAAUUGAUACAAAAAAGAAAAAAGAAAAAAAAGAGAGGUCCAACAGAACAAGAAACACCCCAGAUUAGCAAAACAGCAACAAUAUUACCCAAAACUAACUUCCUGGUUCAAUGAUACUUGCCAAAAUUUUCCUGUGCAAUGAGUGAUUAUUACUGACAUUUCAGGCGGCUAACUUUAGGGCUGUAUGUCCAAAUAAAGUUGU